AGAGCGAACGCUGGCGGCAGGCCUAACACAUGCAAGUCGAGCGCCCGUAGCAAUACGGGAGCGGCAGACGGGAUAGUAACACGUGGGAACGCGCCCUUCGGUUCGGAAUAACUCAGGGAAACUUGAGCUAAUACCGGAUACGCCCUUGCGGGGAAAGAUUUAUUGCCGAAGGAACGGCCCGCGUCCGAUUAGCUAGUUGGUGAGGUAAUGGCUCACCAAGGCGACGAUCGGUAGCUGGGUCUGAGAGGAUGACCAGCAUCACUGGGACUGAGACACGGCCCAGACUCCUACGGGAGGCAGCAGUGGGGAAUAUUGGACAAUGGGCGCAAGCCUGAUCCAGCCAUGCCGCGUGGAUGAUGAAGGCCUUAGGGUUGUAAAGUCCUUUUAACGGGGAAGAUAAUGACGGUACCCGUAGAUAAGCCCGCUAACUUCGUGCCAGCAGCCGC
rnacentral:rRNA from 1 species